rnacentral:rRNA from 1 species
AGUUGGUGGAGUGGUCUGUCUGGUUAAUUCCGUGAACGAACGAGAUCUCUCCCUGCUAAAUUGUGUUGUACAGCAUUGAUUGUUUGAAGUAUCUCUUAGAGGAACCCUGUACGUCUACUACUUGGAAGCCUGAGGCAAUAACAGG